UGAUGGAUCAUUCGCGAAUGCAUUGUCGAUUAUACUAUGCUUCUGGCAGAAUCGUUUAGGAGUGAUACUGUAUACACGUAUAUAGAUCACGUCCAACAAGCUUGUGUGAGUUCAAAGAUAUGAAUGGCUGCGAAACUUCUGUCUCUGUGCUUGUCACAGCGCUCUUGCUGUGCUGGUUGCAGAGACUAGUGUCAACGCGAGGGAAAUACCGGCCGAUAGAUGUGGUGUACUAGAAACUGGAUCAAACCAAAAUAACGUUUAUUAUUACUUUCAUCGAUGGGUGUCUCGGUUCACGCAACGAGGAAGGACGCAGCCAGCUGUGAUACGCAGUGUGACUUGCAAUCUUUAGAGAAUCAUUCGAUUUUUGAACGCGAAAGGCACUUCGAGAUUGAACUUGGAGUAUGUUCACUUCAGAGUUUUAAAUGUAUGUUGCCUGCAUUCGCUUGCGACGUGAAUAGAAGCUGUGGAAACACUCAGCUCCUGUAGUCUCGUGGUAUACUUGGUGCCUAAGUAUCAUAUUCCAUACUAGGAAUACAAGCCUGAAUAACCUCUCGUAUACGUAGAAUAAAAGCCUGAAUUUGAGCAAGUUUGCCCGCUGAAUUUAAGCAUAUUAUUAAGCGGAGAAAAAGAAACUAACUAGGAUCCCUUUAGUAACUGCGAGUGAACAAGGAAAAGCUCAAAAUGAUAAUCAUCGGUUACCCGAUGAGUUGUAGUCUCUCGAAUUGUAGCCCGCACCUAUUUUGGGAUGACAAGUCUCUUGGAAAAACGCGCCAGAGAGGGUGAAAGCCCCGUGACUCCCCAAAUUCAUUGGUGCACGGUACAACUUCUUCGAGUCGCGAUCCUUGAGAUUGGAUCGCUAAAGGGGUGAUAAAUUUCAUCUAAAGCUAAACGCUAGCGUGAUCCCGAUAGCGUACAAGUACCGUGAGGGAAAGAUGAAAAGGACUUUGGAAAGAGAGUUAAAAGGAACUGAAAUCGUUGAAAGGGAAGUGGAGGAAGUGAUGAGUUGUUGCAAGUGCUUGUGCCGUCUGCAGUCGAGCUCGAAUGCAGUUGUGCACCUAGGACUUGCGCUUGGUUCGGAAGAGACAAAACGCUUCCUCUAGCUGGCGGUUCGGAACGACUAUUGAUCUCAAUAGUCUUCUGCUCCUUACUGUGCAGAGGUGUUCGUCGUCUAACAUUGUGCAACUUUUGCGGUUGCACUAUAGUAUUCCGAAGGAAUUUGCUUUCUCUAUCCCGUCUUGAAACACGGACCGAGGAGUCUAACAUGUGUGCAAGUACAAGGGCUGCAGAUAGACCCCUGUGCGAAACGAGAGUGUUUGUUACGAUGGAAACCCUGCAGUAACACCCGAUGAUUUUCAUCGCGGUCUAGCAUACCUGUUAAGACCCGAAAGAUGGUGAACUAUGCCUGGGUAGGGUGAAGCCAGAGGAAACUCUGGUGGAAGCUCGCAGCGAUACUGACGUGCAAAUCGUUCGUCAAACUUGGGUAUAGGGGCGAAAGACUAAUCGAACCAUCUGGUAGCUGGUUCCCUC
rnacentral:misc_RNA from 1 species